GGAGCUGUGCCCGAAUACUUAAGGACCACUUUGAUAGAGUGACUUAUGAGGGUUUAAGUCCCUCCGGCUC
rnacentral:tRNA from 1 species